rnacentral:tRNA from 1 species
GGGGCGUAGCUCAGUUGGGAGAGCGCUACACUGGCAGUGUAGAGGUCAUGGGUUCAAGUCCCACCGUCUCC